GAUGAACGCUGGCGGCGUGCCUAAUACAUGCAAGUCGAGCGAACGGACGAGAAGCUUGCUUCUCUGAUGUUAGCGGCGGACGGGUGAGUAACACGUGGAUAACCUACCUAUAAGACUGGGAUAACUUCGGGAAACCGGAGCUACUACCGGAUAAUAUUUUGAACCGCAUGGUUCAAAAGUGAAAGACGGUCUUGCUGUCACUUAUAGAUGGAUCCGCGCUGCAUUAGCUAGUUGGUAAGGUAACGGCUUACCAAGGCAACGAUGCAUAGCCGACCUGAGAGGGUGAUCGGCCACACUGGAACUGAGACACGGUCCAGACUCCUACGGGAGGCAGCAGUAGGGAAUCUUCCGCAAUGGGCGAAAGCCUGACGGAGCAACGCCGCGUGAGUGAUGAAGGUCUUCGGAUCGUAAAACUCUGUUAUUAGGGAAGAACAGAUGUGUAAGUAACUGUGCACGUCUUGACGGUACCUAAUCAGAAAGCCACGGCUAACUACGUG
rnacentral:rRNA from 1 species